rnacentral:ncRNA from 1 species
AACUAGAAAGGGCACACUUAUCGAAAGGUAAGGCCGCAAAGCUUCAAAUCUACAGUGCAGUAUAAAGGCACUAUGAUAGUUGGGCUACCACA